UGGGGCGUCGCCAAGUGGUAAGGCAGCGGACUUUGGAUCCGCCACACGUAGGUUCGAAUCCUACCGCCCCAGCCA
rnacentral:tRNA from 2 species